rnacentral:rRNA from 1 species
UACGUAGGGUGCAAGCGUUGUCCGGAAUUAUUGGGCGUAAAGAGCUCGUAGGCGGUCUGUCGCGUCUGCUGUGAAAACUCAGGGCUUAACCCUGAGCUUGCAGUGGGUACGGGCAGACUAGAGUGCGGUAGGGGAGACUGGAAUUCCUGGUGUAGCGGUGAAAUGCGCAGAUAUCAGGAGGAACACCGGCGGCGAAGGCGGGUCUCUGGGCCGUAACUGACGCUGAGGAGCGAAAGCAUGGGGAGCGAACAGG